AUUGAACGCUGGCGGCAUGCCUUACACAUGCAAGUCGAACGGCAGCACGGGAGCAAUCCUGGUGGCGAGUGGCGAACGGGUGAGUAAUAUAUCGGAACGUGCCCAGUCGUGGGGGAUAACGUAGCGAAAGCUACGCUAAUACCGCAUACUAUCUAUGGAUGAAAGCGGGGGAUCGCAAGACCUCGCGCGAUUGGAGCGGCCGAUAUCAGAUUAGGUAGUUGGUGAGGUAAAGGCUCACCAAGCCGACGAUCUGUAGCUGGUCUGAGAGGACGACCAGCCACACUGGGACUGAGACACGGCCCAGACUCCUACGGGAGGCAGCAGUGGGGAAUUUUGGACAAUGGGCGCAAGCCUGAUCCAGCAAUGCCGCGUGCAGGAUGAAGGCCUUCGGGUUGUAAACUGCUUUUGUACGGAACGAAACGGUGAGCUCUAAUACAGUUUGCUAAUGACGGUACCGUAAGAAUAAGCACCGGCUAACUACGUG
rnacentral:rRNA from 1 species